rnacentral:lncRNA from 1 species
AGCUGACCUUCACUUCCUGGUGCAGCCAAUGUCCUCUGCCGCUAUUGGGGCAAAACUAUUCUAUUACUAAAGCUCCAUAUGCCGCCAUGAUUGGCCAUUUCUGAACCCCUUCGUCGGAAAUCCUAAAGGCAGUAGAAUUGCAAUCCAAACAGUCCUGAGUACCGGAAGAGAGUGUCUGUCCACAAGAACUCUCUCACACUGUCAGACGUGGCCCUGUCUGACAGCGGAGUGUUUGCUCUGAAAGACCCCAAGACCAAUGGACUCAUCAGUGCCCUUUAUGUCUCUGUCUCUGCCACAGUUACUCGUGAGACGCACUGGAAAUCAUUUGUUGUAAGGAUUGCUCUGCUUCUGCUUAUAUGCAGUUUAAUAUUCAGUUUGGCACGAUAUCUGGAAAAAAUGAGUAAUAAGCAACAAAUGGAGAACAAUUGUGCAUUUUCAGCCAAACAAUAAUGCCACUAUACUUUUAAAUGCCCCAUGCUAUUCAGUCUAUGGAUUUUGGACCUUUUUCUGACCUUUCAUAUUCAGCAUCUGGACCUGCUAAUUUUUUGGACCUUUUUCUGACCUUUCAUAUUCAGCAUCUGGACCUGCAUUUUACUUUACGGUGGCUCUUAGAUUCACGCUGAUCUGCUCAAUAUGUUUCACUGGACAGUUUCAUCACACUUUUUAUGAAUUACCGGACAGCCUCUGUGAACUAGACAUGUUUAAAGAUCUAGUUUUUGUCUAUUUUAUUUCAUAUGAAUAAAUAGAAUUAACAAUCUGCA